rnacentral:misc_RNA from 1 species
GCGCAUCGAAAAGAUGGUGGAUGGUAUCAGAAAUUAUCGAUGUAUUGAGUUUAUUAAGUUUUAAAGGUUUAAUAAAACAGUGUAUCUAACGUUCUGAACGUCGAUUGAAAACAUAAAAAUGGGUUCAAAUAAACGGCAUAAAACCGAGAAGAGCCGGGACGCUAAGAAGAAGCGUCACCGAAGCCGCUCACGUAGCUAUACACCUGAACGCGAAAAAUCGGAUAAGCACAGGCAUCAUAAAAAGCAUAGAAGGAAAGAACGCAAGGAUUAUGACAGUGAUGUCGAAAUAGUUAAUGCACCUCCCCCACCAAAAAUUUCUAAGUCAUCACAUCCAUCAACACCUCCACCUCCUGAAAUUUCUAAACAACGCAGUCCUUCGCCGAUCAAAGGUGGUGCAGCACAAAGCUCUCUAUCCAUUGAAGAAACUAAUAAACUACGAGCAAAGUUAGGUUUGAAACCAUUAGAAGUUGAUAGUGGUCCAAAAGAUGAUCCUAAUAAGAUUAAAGACGAUUUGGGAGAAUUUUAUCAUAAACCUGCCCCUGAUGUUAAUGAAAAGUUAAGGACACAAAAAUUAAAGGAGAAGAUUACUGUUCAGAAACAGAAAAGGCUCAUUGAAUCUAAUUUAUCAAAAACUAAGACCUUAGGAGAAUGUGAUUCUGAUGAUGAUGCUGAAGUUUGGAUUGAUAAAACCAGACGUUUGGAAGAGGAGAAGAAAAAAGCAGAAGAAAGGGCAAAAAUGUUAGAUCAGUUAGAUGAGGAAUUUGGCAUUGGAAAUUUAGUUAAAGAGGAAAUACAUGCUGCUCGAAAUACAGCUUAUACUGAAAAGAAUUUAAGGGGUCUUAGAGUAGAGCAUGAUAUUGAUAAGUUUGAAGAAGGUAAAACAAUUAUAUUGACUUUAAAAGACCAGGAAGUUUUGAAAGAAAAUGACGACGUACUAGUCAACGUAAAUAUAACGGACGAAGAACGUUACCAACGUAAUAUUUUAAAUAAAACUAAAAAACCUGGUUAUGAUGCAUAUGAUGAUGAUAACUUUGAUGAGUUUGGUAUAUCUAAGAAGUCUAUCUUAGAAAAAUAUGACGAAGAAAUCGAAGGCGAGAAGAAAGAUUCUUUUGUGUUAGGGACUAAUAAUAUAAAAGAUACUAAGCAGAAUAAACUUGAUUAUGUCAAGCAGCGUUUAGCUAAUAAGCGACUAGAAUCGUUACAGCUAGCAGAGCCAAAAUUAGCUAGUGAAUAUUACAAUGAGCAAGAACUUGCAAAGUUUAAGAAACCAAAGAAAAAGGUUCGAAAAAUUAGGAAAAAAUUAAAAGCAGAAGAUCUGGUUCCUGAAGAUAACGAUUAUCUUCGUGAUUUAGGAAGCAGAAGAAGUAAACGACCUAAGGAUAUAAAAGAUAACGAUAGUUUAGACGUAGAUGACUUAGAAGCUCCUCCUGAAGAUCUUAGUGGAAUUAAGUUGGAAGAAGAUGAUAAAGAAUUAGAGUUACAGUUAGCACUCAAGAAAGCUCAACGUUUGAAAGAAUCACAAGCAUCAAGUAUUGAGAAAGUUGUUGAAACUAUAAAGCAAGAACCUGCUGGUUCUGAAGAAAGUCAAUCUGGAAAUAUUGUUCUUAAUGCCACCGCAGAAUUUUGUAGAACUUUAGGAGACAUUCCAACUUACGGACUUGCCGGAAACAGGGAAGAAAAUGGGCAAGAACUUAUGGAUUUCGAAAUGGAUGGAGUUAAAGAAGAACCACCGGUAAAUGACGAAGAAGAUGAUGGUCGUGGCGCGUGGAAUACUGUGCAAUUAGAUGAAAGUAUAACAGAGCCAGUAGCGAUGGAAGCUGCAAUUUUGGACGCAGAGCCUUCGCUCGGACAUGGGGUUGGUGGUGCACUAAAACUCGCAAUGAGUAAAGGUUAUUUGCAAAAAGAAGAUAGUAGUAGACCAUCUGCGUCUCGUUUCGCGCAUUUGCAGGCUCAGAAUUAUUCGAUAGAGGACAAAACUUACGGUUAACAGUCGUAAAUAGAGCCCGGAUUUCGGUGCUCGGAAAUGGAUGAUCCGCUACCGCAAGAGUUAACUACUUUGUCGGAGAUGAUCAAAGGCCAGAGAAGAGAGUAGGAUUAAUUGAGAGACGACGAUAAAUUCGGUAGAAGAGACCGGUUUAAUGGCCCAACUUCAGAAUUUAAGGAAAAAGAUGGUUUCAAGCCUAAUGUGAA